UGUCCACAGUGGUAAGUCCUACAAGGGUGAGCAACAGGUACAGGGGGAGCACAUGGAAGGAAGUUCCCCACACAGUCAUAUAAAAUGACAUGAGAAAGCUGCAGGAAGAAAAUGUGCAAAAUCAUGGAAGUAAGAGAGAAUAUACAAUCUUGGGGAAUGGGGAAAAGUUUAGCAUGGGUGGAGUGCAGAACUCUGUGAACAAAGGGCUGAGAACCCAGACUUCAGAGCCAGGGGACCUCCGGAUUCCAAAGGCCUUUGGGCACAGGGGAGCGAGUUUGUCCUGCAUUUUGAUGGCAACAGAGGGCCACUUAAGCUCUUUAAGUGAGGAAGUGACAUGAUAUGAUUCUUAUUCUAGAAAGAUCAUUCUGGCUACAACUUUGACAAAGAAUUCGAUAGAAGCAAGGCUCUGGGGGUGGGGGUGUGUGCAGUGACUAGUUGGAAAAUCAGUGUUAUUAUACCAGUGAGUGAUGGCAGUGGUCUGAAGUCAGAUAGGUUCUGGAGUCUGGGAAGUUGAAGAUCAAGGUGCCAGCAGAUUCAGUUUCUGAGAUAUAAGGCAUGACAACAACUCCUUUAAGGGGAAGAUAAGAUAUCUUUCAACUUCUACUUGCGAUGCUGUGAUGCUUUAGGCACUAAAGCAGAAUUAGAGAGCUGCUGCAGGAAUGGGAGAAGACAAACGCUUCAGGACCAUAGAAGGAGGGGCACAGGCAAUCAUAAAUCAGAG